rnacentral:rRNA from 1 species
CAGAUUGAACGCUGGCGGCAGGCCUAACACAUGCAAGUCGAGCGGAUGAAGAGGAGCUUGCUCCCUGAUUCAGCGGCGGACGGGUGAGUAAUGCCUAGGAAUCUGCCUGGUAGUGGGGGACAACGUUUCGAAAGGAACGCUAAUACCGCAUACGUCCUACGGGAGAAAGCAGGGGACCUUCGGGCCUUGCGCUAUCAGAUGAGCCUAGGUCGGAUUAGCUAGUUGGUGAGGUAAUGGCUCACCAAGGCGACGAUCCGUAACUGGUCUGAGAGGAUGAUCAGUCACACUGGAACUGAGACACGGUCCAGACUCCUACGGGAGGCAGCAGUGGGGAAUAUUGGACAAUGGGCGAAAGCCUGAUCCAGCCAUGCCGCGUGUGUGAAGAAGGUCUUCGGAUUGUAAAGCACUUUAAGUUGGGAGGAAGGGUUGUAGAUUAAUACUCUGCAAUUUUGACGUUACCGACAGAAUAAGCACCGG